AAGUUUGAUCGUGGCUCAGGACGAACGCUGGCGGCGCGCUUAACACAUGCAAGUCGAGCGAGAACCGGACCUUCGGGUCCGGGGAAAGCGGCGAACGGGUGAGUAACACGUGGGUAACCCACCCUUGGUACCGGGAUAGCCCGAGGAAACUCGGAUUAAUACCGGAUGGCCCAACAGGCUCUCGAGCCGGUUGGAAAAGGUAGCUUCGGCCUCCGACCAAGGACGGGCCCGCGGCGGAUUAGCUAGUUGGUGAGGGUAACGGCCCACCAAGGCGACGAUCCGUAGCUGGUCUGAGAGGACGAUCAGCCACACUGGGACUGAGACACGGCCCAGACUCCUACGGGAGGCAGCAGUGGGGAAUCUUGCGCAAUGGGCGAAAGCCUGACGCAGCGACGCCGCGUGGGGGAAGAAGGCUUUCGGGUUGGUAAACCCCUUUUCAGGAAGGACGAAGCCACUCGGGUUAAUAGCCCAGAGGGUGACGGUACUUCCAGAAGAAGCCCCGGCUAACUACGUGCCAGCAGCCGCCGUAAG
rnacentral:rRNA from 1 species